GACGAACGCUGGCGGCGUGCUUAACACAUGCAAGUCGAACGGUGAAGCGCCUUCCUUUUUGGUGGGUGUGGAUGAGUGGCGAACGGGUGAGUAACACGUGAGUAACCUGCCCCCUUCUUCUGGAUAACCGCAUGAAAGUGUGGCUAAUACGGGAUAUUCUGGGUCUGUCGCAUGAUGGGUCUGGGAAAGAUAUUGUUUCGGUGGGGGAUGGGCUCGCGGCCUAUCAGCUUGUUGGUGGGGUGAUGGCCUACCAAGGCGGUGACGGGUAGCCGGCCUGAGAGGAUGGACGGUCACACUGGGAAUGAGACACGGCCCAGACUCCUACGGGAGGCAGCAGUGGGGAAGAUUGCACGAUGGGCGAAAGGCUGAUGCAGAGAAGGCGAGAGAGGGAUGGAGGACUUCGGGGUGUGAAACUCUUUCGCCAGUGAAGCAGGCCUGCCUCGUUUGUGGGUGGGUUGACGGUAGCUGGAUAAGAAGCGCCGGCUAACUACGGG
rnacentral:rRNA from 1 species